UACGAAGGGGGCUAGCGUUGCUCGGAAUCACUGGGCGUAAAGCGCACGUAGGCGGCUUUCUAAGUCAGGGGUGAAAUCCUGGAGCUCAACUCCAGAACUGCCUUUGAUACUGGAGAGCUAGAGUCCGGAAGAGGUGAGUGGAACUGCGAGUGUAGAGGUGAAAUUCGUAGAUAUUCGCAAGAGCACCAGUGGCGAAGGCGGCUCACUGGUCCGGUACUGACGCUGAGGUGCGAAAGCGUGGGGAGCAAACAGG
rnacentral:rRNA from 1 species